AGUUUAUUAAUUGUACUGACUUCAAGUUGACAAGCCAAACCAUCUAAAAAGAUUCAGAACAUUGAUUUAUGGAAUGUUUGACAUCAUUCCCAUGCAGCAGUGCCCAAGGAUUAGGGGUGUCAAUCAGUUAGUUUGGUUUCGGCCUGAACUCUGAAAUCAAGCAAAAUUAAUAUAUCCAAACCAAAUUUCUUAGAAUAUAAAUGUGAACUGAACUGAACUGAAUUGCAGUUGGGUAUUCUUUCAGUUAUAGGUAGAUUGUUCUCUCUCUUAAAAAUAGAAAGUGACAUGAAAUCAAAUCUAUUUAAUCAAUCAAUCCAUGAAGUUUAAAUAUCAUGGGAAAAAA
rnacentral:misc_RNA from 1 species